GCGCGGUUAGUUUAUCGGUAGAAUACAAGAUUCCCAAUCUUGUGGGCCGGGUCCAAUUCCCGGACUGCGCA
rnacentral:tRNA from 1 species